GUGAACGCUGGCGGUAGGCCUCACACCUGCCAGUCGAACGGCAGCACAGUAAGAGCUUGCUCUUACGGGUGGCGAGUGGCGGACGGGUGAGGAAUACAUCGGAAUCUACUUUUUCGUGGGGGAUAACGUAGGGAAACUUACGCUAAUACCGCAUACGACCUACGGGUGAAAGCAGGGGAUCUUCGGACCUUGCGCGAUUGAAUGAGCCGAUGUCGGAUUAGCUAGUUGGCGGGGUAAAGGCCCACCAAGGCGACGAUCCGUAGCUGGUCUGAGAGGAUGAUCAGCCACACUGGAACUGAGACACGGUCCAGACUCCUACGGGAGGCAGCAGUGGGGAAUAUUGGACAAUGGGCGCAAGCCUGAUCCAGCCAUACCGCGUGGGUGAAGAAGGCCUUCGGGUUGUAAAGCCCUUUUGUUGGGAAAGAAAAGCAGCAGGUUAAUACCCCGCUGUUCUGACGGUACCCAAAGAAUAAGCACCGGCUAACUUCGUG
rnacentral:rRNA from 1 species